UACGUAGGGUGCAGGCGUUAAUCGGAAUUACUGGGCGUAAAGCGUGCGCAGGCGGCUCCUUAAGUCAGAUGUGAAAUCCCCGGGCUUAACCUGGGAACUGCGUUUGAAACUGGGGAGCUGGAGUGUAGAAGAGGGGGGUGGAAUUCCAGGUGUAGCAGUGAAAUGCGUAGAGAUCUGGAGGAGCACCGAUGGCGAAGGCAGCCCCCUGGGCUAACACUGACGCUCAUGCACGAAAGCGUGGGGAGCAAACAGG
rnacentral:rRNA from 1 species